UUCCUGCAUUCUUGGAACAGGAGGGAGGUCGCCCCGACUUACGCAGUCUUCAGGGUUCUUCGGAAAUCUCUCCAUGGUUACUAAUCUGGAUGACAGUAACUGGGCAGCUGCAUUUUCAUCACAGCGUUCCGGGCUCUUCACAAACACAGAGCCCCACAGUAUAACAGAAGAUGUAACUAUCAGUGCUGUUAUGUUACGUGAGGAUGAUCCUGGAGAAGCUGGUAAAAUGGCAUUGAGCUUUGUGACAAGUAGCUUUUCACUUUACUAAGAUGAAGGAA
rnacentral:sRNA from 1 species